AGAUUGAACGCUGGCGGCAGGCCUAACACAUGCAAGUCGAGCGGCAGCACGGGUACUUGUACCUGGUGGCGAGCGGCGGACGGGUGAGUAAUGCCUAGGAAUCUGCCUGAUAGUGGGGGAUAACGCUCGGAAACGGACGCUAAUACCGCAUACGUCCUACGGGAGAAAGCAGGGGACCUUCGGGCCUUGCGCUAUCAGAUGAGCCUAGGUCGGAUUAGCUAGUUGGUGGGGUAAUGGCUCACCAAGGCGACGAUCCGUAACUGGUCUGAGAGGAUGAUCAGUCACACUGGAACUGAGACACGGUCCAGACUCCUACGGGAGGCAGCAGUGGGGAAUAUUGGACAAGUGGGCGAAAGCCUAGAUCCAGCCAUGCCGCGUGUGUGAAGAAGGUCUUCGGAUUGUAAAAGCUAACGUUUAAGUUGGAGGUAAGGGCAAGGUUACCUAAAGUACGUAAUCUUGGUUUAGACCGUUUAACCGAACUAGAAAUUAAGCCUAACCGGCUAAACUCGUCGUACG
rnacentral:rRNA from 1 species